rnacentral:lncRNA from 1 species
CCUUUCUUCCCGUGCCUUUGUGCACGACUGCCAGCGACGGGUGUCGCUGAUUUUUGGUCGGAAAAGAGACCCCCGUUUUGGCCUCUUUUUUCCUUUGAUUUUCCGACGCCGGCGAUUACAACAGACUGCCGGCCUUGCAUCUCCGAACCCGAAAAAGUAGCCCCCCUCUGCCGCCGACCUCCGCCGUGACGGCCAUGGCC